GAUCUUAGGGUCAGAAUUGGAGUCUUACAAUGGCGACAAAUUGUUGAGCUUGCCGAGAAAAAGAACUUGGAUGGUUUAUGUUUGUCACUUGGGUCAACCCGAAGAGAUUUGAAGCGAAUUCAGGAAGUGUUUAACAGUGCUAGCUUUAUUCAUUCUAAGGAUUGGUCUAUUGUCGCUAUUUUAGAAGAUGAUGGAGAGUAAGGAGUCCCAAACUUUGUAACACGUGGAUCGAUGUGACAAAACUGGAUUGUUGUUGAUGUUCCUUUUGUUAUU
rnacentral:lncRNA from 1 species